GCCAGAUGGGUUGUGAUGAGUUAGGAGACCGAUGACGGUAUGUCAAUUUAAUAUUAUUUCAUGUUCAAUAAAAUUUAGAAAUUUAUAAAUCUAUCAAAUAAUGUUAACCCGUCAAAUUGCUUACAAAAUUUAUUUAAUUUUUUGCAGGUUUCUAAUUGAAUUUAUAUUAUUUAUGGAUAAUAUUUUAUUUUUUUAUAUUUUCUUUUAAUA
rnacentral:lncRNA from 1 species